GACGAACGCUGGCGGCGUGCUUAACACAUGCAAGUCGAACGGGCCCGCCCCUGUUUUUGGGGGUGGGUUGAGUGGCGAACGGGUGAGUAUCACGUGAGUAACCUGCCCCCUGCUCCUGGAUAACUGCUUGAAAGGGCGGCUAAUACGGGGUGUGCCGGCUGGUCCGCAUGGGCCUGGUCGGGAUAGUUUCAUCUUCGGGUGUUUCGGCGGGGGAUGGGCUCGCGGCCUAUCAGCUUGUUGGUGGGGUGAUGGCCCACCAAGGCGGUGACGGGUAGCCGGCCUGAGAGGGUGGGCGGCCACACUGGGACUGAGACACGGCCCAGACUCCUGCGGGAGGCAGCAGUGGGGGGUAUUGAGCAAUGGGCGGAAGCCUGAUGCAGCGACGUCGCGUGAGGGAUGGAGGCCUUCGGGUUGUGAACCUCUUUCUCCGGUGGUGAAGGCCCUGUCCGUUGCGGCGGGGUUGACGGUAGCCGGGUAUGAAGCGCCGGCUAACUACGUG
rnacentral:rRNA from 1 species